rnacentral:rRNA from 1 species
AACGAACGCUGGCGGCAUGCCUAACACAUGCAAGUCGAACGGGAUCCGGACUUCGGUUCGGUGAGAGUGGCGGACGGGUGAGUAACGCGUGGGAACCUGCCCAGUGGUGGGGGAUAACUGCGGGAAACUGCAGCUAAUACCGCAUGAGCCCGAGAGGGGAAAGAUUUAUCGCCAUUGGAGGGGCCCGCGUUCGAUUAGGUAGUUGGUGAGGUAACGGCUCACCAAGCCGACGAUCGAUAGCUGGUCUGAGAGGAUGAUCAGCCACACUGGGACUGAGAUACGGCCCAGACUCCUACGGGAGGCAGCAGUGGGGAAUAUUGGACAAUGGGGGCAACCCUGAUCCAGCAAUGCCGCGUGAGUGAUGAAGGCCUUCGGGUUGUAAAGCUCUUUUGCCAGGGACGAUGAUGACGGUACCUGGAGAAUAAGCCCCGGCUAACUUCGUGCCAGCCGCCGCGGUAAGAC